CAGCAGCCACGGGAAUACGUAGGUGGCAAGCGUUGUCCGGAAUUAUUGGGCGUAAAGGGCUCGCAGGCGGUUUCUUAAGUCUGAUGUGAAAGCCCCCGGCUCAACCGGGGAGGGUCAUUGGAAACUGGGAAACUUGAGUGCAGAAGAGGAGAGUGGAAUUCCACGUGUAGCGGUGAAAUGCGUAGAGAUGUGGAGGAACACCAGUGGCGAAGGCGACUCUCUGGUCUGUAACUGACGCUGAGGAGCGAGAGCGUGGGGAGCGAACAGGAUUAGAUACCCGAGUAGUCCCUGUCUCUUAUAC
rnacentral:rRNA from 1 species